rnacentral:piRNA from 1 species
GACAUGCUUUGAAGUUUGCUAAAUGCAAUC